rnacentral:tRNA from 2 species
GCCGUCAUAGCUCAGUCGGUAGAGCACAUCCAUGGUAAGGAUGGGGUCGCAGGUUCAAGUCCUGUUGUCGGCA